UCUCUUCAGGAACCUUCUACAGCUGCGUCAGUCAGAUCACCAUCGGACGUUGUUUGGACCUGCUUUGAGCAGCUGAAAGACGGACCCAACGGACGACGACCGGACCGCUGUGCCAUCCAUCACCCCACUUCACUCAUCAACUCCGACCACAUUAGCUACGGCUGUCACCGUGGACCGCCGGCAUCCUCGAUCCGCAAGAACUUGACGAGUGGUACCAUUCGGCGGAGUUUUACCGAACGUGACUCAGAGUAAGGAGCGUUCUGAUUAAGCAUUGGGUGUGUGGAAGCAAAGCUUGUCGUAUCCGAAUCAAAGCCUCUAAAUCAACUUUUAUAACAAAUUAAUUAAGCCCCCUUUUUUAUAAAUCCUUACCUAGUUAAAUCACUCAAACGAUACCGCGUUUUACCCCGGUACUCUAACAUAAGAAAAUCACCAUAUCAAACUAAGAAACCAAGAAUUAACAUUCUCUUAUUUACGUUGUCACGUCAGUAUCACUGUCGUAAUUAUAUUCUUUGCAUAUUUACUUUAUUCACAUAUCUUGUUCACCAUUUUCUAUAUUAAAGAGCCCAUAUUAUACCCUCUUUGGGGUUCGUAUAUUUAAUCUAUGUAUCUACUUUUGUACGUUCACAAUAGCUAAAGUCCGAAAAAAGUGUCUGUUUUCAUGUACUGCUCCUCCUUGCUCCCUCUGCGCUCUGAGUCCGUCAGAUGCACUCUGCUGAGCCCCCACUGUUAGACCUCACGUGGGCCAAGUCUGCUCUGAUUGGUCUGCCGAUCCGCUCUGUCAUUAUUGGUCAGUUGCUCAGCACACGUCUCGGAAAUUUCAACAUGAGCUGCUGGGCUUGCCACAACGAGCCAAUGGACUUGGACCAGUGAUCUCACACUGACAAUGACGUUGGACUGACAAAUUUUUAUCGAGGGGGGCUAGAACCGAGCGUUACAUGCGGCUAAUACUACAGCUAACAGGAGGAGGUAGGAGAAGCCGCGUUUCUGCGGACUUUGAAUUUUUGCACAUAGAUGUGCCUAAACAUGCACAGGACACUUGGAAAACACACUAAAGGGCAUAUAAAACCAGAAAAAGCAUAAUAUGGGACCUUUAAACUUUACACAUAAAAAUUCAGUAAUUUGUCUGUGUAUUUUUCUGGUUUUAAACUGCUUGAGAACUUACUCUGAUGAUAUGAGACAGAUUCAUUUAUUAAUUCAUUACUAUAAUUAAGGUUAAUAGUCUCUUGCUUAUUCUUAAAGCUGGUGCCCCGUAUUAUAAUUGUAUAUGCUACAAGUGCCUCAGCAUGGACGAGGUGUUGUUGCUGUAUGACAGCCUCGAAUCAAACAGCAUACACUGGACCUGUGAAACAAUCAGUUAGCAAAGUCAAUCAUAAUUUGAAUGCAUUCAUAUGUAAUUGUCCACCCCAUUGAAAUUUGGCAUUGGCUACUACAGGCAUGUACAUCAAGGACAUUUGUGUAAUUAUGUUUUCUAUAGCGACAUCAUUGUACUUGAGGGCUUGCCCUUAAGGGGGUUUCCAGUGUAAAUAGGCUACAGGUGAAAUCAAAAUAACACUGGUAAUUACCUUAUUAUCCGGGUCUAUCUAUCUACACUGAUUCUCUACAAAAUACGUAAUCCGAUACAACACUACUAACUCUUUAAGCAACCAACAACAACAA